AGUCGUGAGGAAGGUAGUGUAGUUAAUAGCUGCAUUAUUUGUACGUUAGCGACAGAAGAAGACACCGGCUAACUCCGUGCCAGCAGCCGCGGUAAGUACGGAGGGUGCGAGCGUUAAUCGGAAUUACUGGGCGUAAAGCGCAUGCAGGUGGUUUGUUAAGUCAGAUGUGAAAGCCCGGGGCUCAACCUCGGAAUAGCAUUUGAAACUGGCAGACUAGAGUACUGUAGAGGGGGGUAGGAAUUUCAGGUGUAGCGGUGAAAUGCGUAGAGAUCUGAAGGAAUACCGGUGGCGAAGGCGGCCCCCUGGACAGAUACUGACACUCAGAUGCGAAAGCGUGGGGAGCAAACAGGAUUAGAUACCCUGGUAG
rnacentral:rRNA from 1 species